AGCGAACGCUGGCGGCAGGCCUAACACAUGCAAGUCGAGCGCGUGUAGCAAUACACGAGCGGCAGACGGGAGAGUAACACGUGGGAACGUGCCCUUCAGUUCGGAACAACCCAGGGAAACUUGGGCUAAUACCGGAUACGCCCGCAAGGGGAAAGAUUUAUCGCUGAAGGAGCGGCCCGCGUCUGAUUAGCUAGUUGGUGAGGUAAUGGCUCACCAAGGCGACGAUCAGUAGCUGGUCUGAGAGGAUGAUCAGCCUCACUGGGACUGAGACACGGCCCAGACUCCUACGGGUGGCAG
rnacentral:rRNA from 1 species